rnacentral:tRNA from 1 species
GCGUCGGUGGUGUAAUGCGAACAUCGCCACGCCCGGAAAGCAGAAGAUGCGGGUUCAAGUCCCGCCUGGCGCA